GUCACACCUGGCUUCAAAUAUACUUUUCAGUUAAACAAGAAUUAAAAAUGUAAUGAUAGUUUCAAGUGGCAUAAUAAUUUAUCUUCAGAUGUGGAGUCACACAAAAAAAGGAGAUAGUCAUGUUAGGUUCCCACUUGAAAAUUUUAUGGUCUCUGAUGUGAAAACUCCACAUUUUGAAGCUAUCUCUAUCCUAUUCAGACCAAUCUCUGUUUUCCAAAAGAGUAAAGUCCAUGUAUCUCAGUUUACCUGCGUCAGCCCUUAGUCCUGUGUAAUAGCAAUUUCAUUAUUCUCCAGAUACUCUGGUGUAAAUGGUAAGUUGUAGUUACCCUAGUAAUGAGGGAACCGACUCCCAAGUUGAAAGAUGUGUACAGGUACUGCAAAUAGUCCAAGGUAGCCCAUGGCAAAGUAGAGAUGAACACCCCAAGCUUCCAAACCAGGGUUAAAUUGGCUUUACUGUUGCCAUCCAUGAUUAUAGAUUAAUUGAAUGAAUGCAAAAGCUCCUCAAUUUUUACUAAGUCUUGCAAAGUUCUCAAACGUCAGCUUGUAUUGGAAUCACAGAAGGGUCUGUGCCCCCCUCAGAACUUCUUAUUUUGGAGGUCCACAGUGGGACUGAGAAUGUAAAUAUCUACCAACCUUCUGAGGAACACCAGGGCUGAUUGCUGAGGGAGCUCUCCCUCUAUGGACUCUGACUCGAGCAGUCCCCUUCCUCAGCUGUUGGAGUUCUCAACAUAUAAUUUAUUUUAUAUGCAACAGGAUUUUCCCAAAGCAAGAAAAUAACCCCACAGGGAUGCAAUGGAAAAUUAAUUCGAAGUAAAUAAUACACAGAUGAGGGUCAGGUGACACAGGACUGGGUGGGUCAAUUUUUCACAAAGGGUUCAAGGCCGAUCAUUGCAGGCCACCCAGGCAGGGUGCUCCACAAAGAGGGAGAAAUUGCCUCCACACUUGUGCUUGAGGGCCUCUGACUCAAAGUGACCCUGAACCAUGGCAUCAUUUGGAAGUUGCUAGAAAUGCACGCUGGAGAAAGAUCGAGGGCUUCCCACGAGCACCCUGGUUCACCUGCUGUGGUGAGUGAUGGCAGAAAGGAGGAACUGGGUCACUGGCUUGGAGGGUAGCUUAAAGGGUACAUUUGGAGAAAUAAGUAAGUGGAAUUAAAACGGAAUUAAGCAUCAUGUGAGAAAACGGAGGCUGGUGGGUUUAGAGUCCAAAUGACAACAUGUCUCUCAGGAAAUAGUUUGUUACCACAAUUGCUUAUUAAGUCAGGGGAUAGAGGAUGGAGUUGGUAGGAAAGACAAGCAUUGAAAAACAGCACUAAAAUCAGAUUCACCAGGAAUGUCCCAAGGCAGUUGGAGUUAAUGGGGAGAGUUUCCGGUGGUGUGCUAGCAGAGAAGCUUGAAUUCACCAAGACCGAUUCCAUCUCAUUGCUAAGGCAGGGGCCUUGAAUUCUAAUUCCCUGACGGUGUUCUUGUCAAAUACAUAUUAAGAAUAGAGUUUCAUAGGAGCACACACAAUCACCUCUGCAACUGCGGCGUUUUAUGUGACUUGCGGACGCUCAAAACGCUGCGGUUGCUAAGAAUGACGUGGUUUUCCCCGCAGUUGAGCCUCAGCCUCGGGGACGGCACCACGGCUCGCCACACUUCUCCUCGCAGGUGCACCUGCAGUUUUGAGUCAACAAGAACUGCCAACCCAGGGUGAUAAGCUCCAUAUAAAUAAUUAAUGACACGGAACUAAUUACUCCUGUAUUAGGCCACCUGCACCGGCAAAGCUCGAGAGGCCCAGGUGUGAAAAUUGCAGGGGCAACUAAUUGAGAGCUGCGUUUCAUCAAGGAGACCCUGUCGAGGAGACCCUGGCUGCUUCCGGCUCUCCUUCCUGUUGGGGUUCAGCAAGGCGCACACGGGUGGCACGGGCAGUGUUUGUAACUGUCUGACUAGGCAGGCAGAGGACACGGUAACCCUUAUACCCAGCCCUCAGAGGCCACCAGAAGGCAAUAGGGAUUAGCUUUAAUUAGAGGAAAAUGGAGCUUGCAAGACACGGUUGGAAAUUUCCCCUUGAGGGGUGUGGAACCUGUUGCCCAACAGCUUGCGAGAAGGCCGCAUUUAGGAGCAGGGGGACUUCUGGGUCCUUAUUCAAGUAGCGUCAAGCAGGAUUUCAGUCGCUCAAAGUGAAUUAAAUUAUUUAUAUCUCGCUGUAUGAGGUGUCAUAAAGGUGCUUCGUUUGGUGGGGAGUCUCUAUUUUGUCGCCUUGGCAGCGGCGGUGGCGUGUGUGUGUGUGACGCAGGAGUCGUUUGAAGGAAAGGACUGCAAAGUCCCGGUCGUGUGCUCUGACCUCACUGCCAGCAGAACUUCUCAGGCUCUCGUACAGCCCGCCUCAUUAUUUUGUGUUGGCUCUGGAAAGAAGGAGAAAGGAGCACGGCGUGAUGACGACGGAAGCUACGUACCUCUAGCAGCUUCACAGUCAGUGUUUGCUUCGGGUACAAAAGCUCUCUCUGAAGCUGGAACUCCUUGCUUAGCGAAAGUCUGUUCCCGAUUAGAAGUCCUUUGUCCCGGCUUGAAGAGACAGCUGUAUCCAGUGACGUUUCCACCAGUGAUGAGAGUAUUCUUACUUUCAUUCUCACCAGGAGCAGCUAUUUCUGCUCCUCACCCGCAAUUUCUGAGCUGGAGCAAAAGUUACUCCUUAAAUUCCUUCACAGAACCUGGAAGCAUCUUUGUGUGUGACAGCAACAGCAGAGAGAGAGAAACAGAGGAGACAGAAUUGGAAUGUCACGCGUGAUUUAUGGAAAUUCUAGUAGUGAAAGAUGGAGAGGGAAAAAAAAGGGAGCAAAGGAUAUGUGGGACAUCCUGAAGCAGGAUCCUGUGUUGGACUGAGCCCUUCCUUAAGACCAAAAGGAAAGAAAAGGAAAAGAAGAGAAGAAAGCAAAGGAAAAAGGAAGGGAAGGAA